AAGACUAUACUUUCAGGGAUCAUUUCUAUAGUAUAUAACUAGAGAAAUGUGUUUCUAAGGAGUUUGGUCUCGCUUACCACGAUGAUGAGUUGUGAUGUUCUCUUCUGAGCAUGAAGAUGAUGUUGAUUGAUGGUUUACUUCAUCUACUCAGUGUCAUUGAUGACUGUUCUCUGCCUCUUCAUGAGGCUCAGAGGAAGAGAAUGUCAUCAGAGUGGU